GUCUGGCCUCUGGCCAAAUUAUAGUAGCGCUGCCCUAACCAAAUCCUAUUGACUCUACACAACGAACCGACUAGUCGAUGUCGAUCCCACCAUCUUCAACCUCAACUCCUUCAGCCUCUUCAGGUUCGCAAUUCACAUACACCACAGCAACGGCGACGCCAAACUCUUCGUAUUUCCCAAUGCCCUUUCACCUCCAGCAAUCGGUCCAACCCUACGUCGCUCCGCCCGCAGUUCAACCCGUCGUCACUCCUGUUUACACCGCUCCAGUUGGAGCCGUCUACUCUCUUCCUCAGUUCCAGCAGGCACAACAGUUAUUUCAAAGGGAUGCACAAACUAUUACACCUGAAGCGCUUGAGGGUGUAAAAGCAGCCCUUGCUAGCAGUGAGAUUGAGCACAAACAAGAAAACAAAAAGAAAGCAAUUCCUCGAAAAGCUGCUGGCCAGUCUUGGGAGGAUCCAACGCUUGCAGAGUGGCCUGAAAAUGAUUAUCGACUUUUUUGUGGUGACCUUGGUAAUGAGGUGAAUGAUGAUGUUCUUUCAAAAGCAUUUUCCCGCUUUCCAUCAUUUAACAUGGCUAGAGUUGUUAGAGAUAAGCGGACUGGCAAAACCAAGGGCUAUGGAUUUGUUAGCUUUUCCAACCCUACGGACCUUGCAGCAGCACUGAAGGAGAUGAAUGGUAAGUGAACUUAAAUCUUCCUUUUCUUUUCCCCCUUUUUUUCGUAUUUAAUACUUGUGCCUGCUCUUGGCAUCUUCAAUGAUGUAACUCUAAAGCACAUGUAUAUAGUUAACCGGACCAAAAAUCUACUCUACUGAACAAGUUAAGAAAUUCACAACUUACCCUCUUGGAUUUAACCAUUUGAAUUGAGUUCAGAUAACUCAUAAUGAACCAUUUAGAUUGUAGUGACAUAAAAUUUAAUUCAUAGUCCUCAGACUUCAACAAUCAUAUUCGUAAGUUCUUAUCAACUCAAACAUGCCAAUUCAAAUUAAAUAAAGCAAACUAUGACAAUUUAUCCAGAAUUAAAGAUACCAUAGCUUUGUGAAGCCACUUUUCUGCUAUAUGGAAACCCGUCAUGCUUGAUUUAAUUUCAUGAGUCACACCCUAUUUUGUACGUUGUCUCAAAUUUAACACAUUAACACUUGGAAGCGAAGGAGGGUUUAGCAUGCUUCAUUGGCAUUGGGAGCACCAGAAACAAUUUCUUCUCCCAUUCCAUUCAAUUUCGUGUUUUUGGUGAGAGGGAGAUUUAAUUAGGAGGCUUAAUCGAACCAAAGGAAGGAAUUUGGCUCAUUUUUCUCAGGCUGGAUGAGUAGAAAUUGGCUGGAGAUGGUUGUUCUUGGCACGUGGUCCCCCCCUCCCUUUCCCUUUUUUCUCCCUUUAGAGCUCUCUCUCUUGUUUCCCCAUUUUACCUCUCUUGGACUAGCAAUAUAAGGACUCAAAAUGAGUCGAGAAUUUCAGAAAUGUUUUUC
rnacentral:misc_RNA from 1 species